rnacentral:rRNA from 1 species
UUGUUGGUGGGGUAAUGGCCUACCAAGACGAAGAUGGUUAGCCGGCCUGAGAGGGUGAACGGCCACAUUGGGACUGAGAUACGGCCCAGACUCCUACGGGAGGCAGCAGUGGGGAAUUUUGCACAAUGGGCGCAAGCCUGAUGCAGCGACGCCGCGUGGAGGAUGACGGUUUUCGGAUUGUAAACUCCUGUUGUACGGGAAGAAAGACUGAUACCUAAUACGUAUCGGGGAUAGACCGGUACCGUAAGAGAAAGCACCGGCAAACUUCGUGCCAGCAGCCGCGGUAAUACGAAGGGUGCAAGCGUUAUUCGGAGUUACUGGGCGUAAAGAGCAUGUAGGCGGUCUUUUAAGUUAUCUGUUAAAUCUCCCAGCCUAACUGGGAACAUGCGGGUGAUACUGGGAAGGCUAGAAGUGUAAGAGAGAGAAGUGGAAUUCUCGGAGUAGCGGUAAAAUGCGUAGAUCUCGAGAGGAACACCGGGAGGCGAAGGCGGCUUCUUGGCUUACAACUGACGCUCAAGUGCGAAAGCGUGGGGAGCAAACAGGAUUAGAUACCCUGGUAGUCCACGCCGUAAACGAUGAUCACUAGAUGUGGGCUUUGCAUAGCGAGGCCUGUGUCGUAGCUAACGCGUUAAGUGAUCCGCCUGGGGAGUACGGUCGCAAGAUUAAAACUCAAAGAAAUUGACGGGGGUCCGCACAAGCGGUGGAACAUGUGGUUUAAUUCGACACUACGCGAGGAACCUUACCUAGGCUUGACAUGUAAUUGCUACCAGCAGAAACGUUGGGUUCUGUAGAAAUACAGACGGUUACACAGGUGCUGCAUGGCUGUCGUCAGCUCGUGUCGUGAGAUGUUGGGUUAAGUCCUUUAACGAGCGCAACCCUUGCCGUCAGUUGCUACUCUGGAAACAGAGGCACUCUGGUGGGACUGCCGAGGAAACUCGGAGGAAGGUGGGGAUGACGUCAAGUCCUCAUGGCCCUUAUGUCUAGGGCUACACACGUGUUACAAUGGCGAGAUACAAAGAGAAGCAAAGCUGCGAAGCGAAGCAAAUCUCGUAAAACUCGUCUCAGUUCGGAUUGAAGUCUGCAAUUCGACUUCAUGAAGUUGAAAUCGCUAGUAAUCGCGUAUCAGAACGACGCGGUGAAUACGUUCUCGGACCUUGUACACACCGCCCGUCACACCACGAAAGCCGUCGGCACCCGAAAUCGUUUUAGCUAACCUGAAAGGGAGGCGGAUGAUGAAGGUGAAGAGGGUGAUUGGGGUG